rnacentral:rRNA from 1 species
CCUACGGGAAGGCAGCAGUGGGGAAUCUUGGACAAUGGGGGCAACCCUGAUCCAGCCAUGCCGCGUGAGUGAUGANGGCCNUAGGGUCGUAAAGCUCUUUCNCCUGNGAAGAUAAUGACUGUAGCAGGUAAAGAANCCCCGGCUAACUCCGUGCCAGCAGCCGCGGUAAUACGGAGGGGGCUAGCGUUGUUCGGAAUUACUGGGCGUAAAGCGCGCGUAGGCGGACUGGAAAGUCGGAGGUGAAAUCCCGGGGCUCAACCCCGGAACUGCCUCCGAAACUNUCAGUCUAGAGUUCGAGAGAGGUGAGUGGAAUUCCGAGUGUAGAGGUGAAAUUCGUAGAUAUUCGGAGGAACACCAGUGGCGAAGGCGGCUCACUGGCUCGAUACUGACGCUGAGGUGCGAAAGUGUGGGGAGCAAACAGGAU